rnacentral:rRNA from 1 species
UACGUAGGGUGCAAGCGUUGUCCGGAAUUAUUGGGCGUAAAGAGCUCGUAGGCGGUUUGUCGCGUCUGCUGUGAAAAUCCAGGGCUUAACCCUGGACCUGCAGUGGGUACGGGCAGACUAGAGUGCGGUAGGGGAGAUCGGAAUUCCUGGUGUAGCGGUGAAAUGCGCAGAUAUCAGGAGGAACACCGGUGGCGAAGGCGGUUCUCUGGGCAUUACCUGACGCUGAGGAGCGAAAGUGUGGGGAGCGAACAGG